CCUACGGGAGGCAGCAGUAGGGAAUCUUCCACAAUGGGCGAAAGCCUGAUGGAGCAACGCCGCGUGAGUGAUGAAGGCCUUCGGGUUGUAAAACUCUGUCAUUCGGGACGAACCGGAGUCUGAGGAAAUGCAGACUCUCUGACGGUACCGGAGGAGGAAGCCCCGGCUAACUACGUGCCAGCAGCCGCGGUAAUACGUAGGGGGCAAGCGUUGUCCGGAUUCACUGGGCGUAAAGCGCGCGCAGGCGGUGAUGUAAGUCUGAGGUGAAAACCCGAAGCUCAACUUCGGGACUGCCUUGGAUACUGCGUCACUUGAGGAUAGGAGAGGCAAGGGGAAUUCCACGUGUAGCGGUGAAAUGCGUAGAGAUGUGGAGGAACACCUGUGGCGAAGGCGCCUUGCUGGCCUAUUUCUGACGCUGAGGCGCGAAAGCGUGGGGAGCAAACAGGAUUAGAUACCCUGGUAGUCCACGCUGUAAACGAUGAGUGCUAGGUGUAGGUGGGCUCAUACCCAUCUGUGCCGAAGCUAACGCAUUAAGCACUUCCGCCUGGGGAGUUACGGUCGCAGACUGAAGCUUCAAGGAUUGACGGCNGAGAGNGCGACGGACGACACGAGGGAGGUAGG
rnacentral:rRNA from 1 species